CGGAUUGGUCUGCCAUAUUGAAGGCGUCUGUCUAUUUGAGGUCACCAGUCUGUGUUGGUAAUCCUGUCGAACGCAGAUUUAAAAAAAAUAUAUUGUGUAGUGGAGCUGCAUAAGUGUUGCUCUCCAUUUUCUGGAGGAUCAAGUUUUGAAAUCAGUGGAAUUAGAGUAUGAUAGCUAAAGAGAUGAGGAAAACACUAGUCUCCGGAAUACAUCUUCAAACUUAGGGCAACCGUGGUAUGGCAUUCAUGACUGGAAUGCAUGUUGAUGUAUGCAGGUGGGGUGUGUCACUUGAGUGGGUUGAGUCACUGACAUGGUCUUCCUGUCUGGGUUGGCGCCCCCCCUUGGGUUGUGCCGUGGCGGAGAUCUUUGUGGGCUAUACUCGGCCUUGUCUCAGGAUGGACCUGAGCCCUAGGACCAUGCCUCAGGACUACCUGACAUGAUGACUCCUUGCUGUCCCCAGUCCACCUGGCCGUGUUGCUGCUCCAGUUUCAACUGUUCUGCCUGCGGCUAUGGAACCCUGACCUGUUCACCAGACGUGCUACGUGUCCCAGACCUGCUGUUUUCAACUCUCUAGAGACAGCAGGAGCGGUAGAGAUACUCUCAAUGAUCGGCUAUGAAAAGCCAACUGACAUUUACUCUUGAGGUGCUGAUUUGUUACACCCUCGACAACUACUGUGAUUAUUAUUAUUUGACCAUGCUGGUCAUUUAUGAACAUUUGAACAUCUUGGCCAUGUUCUGUUAUAAUCUCCACCCGGCACAGCCAGAAGAGAACUGGCCACCCCUCAUAGCCUGGUUCCUCUCUAGGUUUCUUCCUAGGUUUUGACCUUUCUAGGGAGUUUUUCCUAGCCACCGUGCUUCUACACCUGCAUUGCUUACUGUUUGGGGUUUUAGGCUGGGUUUCUGUACAGCACUUUGAGGUAUCAGCUGAUGUAAGUCGCUCUGGAUAAGAGCGUCUGCUAAAUGACUUAAAUGUAAAUGUAAAUGUAAAUGUAAGAAGGGCUAUAUAAAUAAAUUUGAUCUGAUUUGAUUUUAAUUAAAUGAGGAUUAGCAUUUUGCAACCAGGAGCAAACAUUUAUUGGGAACAGAAAUAUUUAAAGUGGAUGCUAUGAAAUUCAAUUUGACAUAUGGUAUGGCCACUCCUCCCCAUUUCUGUAAUCUGUCACAUUUAAAAUACAUUAGAUAUAAUUAUAUAGCCUGAUAUACAGCACCCCCUUUUGCCCUCAGAACAGCCUCACAAGGUGUCGAAAGCGUUCCACAGGGAUGUUGGCCCAUAUUGACUCCAAUGCGUCCCACAGUGUAAAGUUGGCUGGAAGUCCUUUUGGUGGUGGACCAUUUUUGAUACACACGGGAAACUGUUUAACGUAAAAAACAGUGCAAUAGUUGUUGACACACUCAAACCAGUGCGCCUGGCACCUACUACCAUACGCUGUUCAAAGGCACUUAAAAAUGUUGUCUUGCCCAUUCAUACUCUGAAUGGCGCACAUACACAAUACAUGUCUUAAUUGUCUCAAGGCUAAAAACGAUUCCCUGUCUCAUCUACACUGAUUGCAGUGGAUUUAAAAAGUGAUAUCAUUAAGGGAUCAUAGCUUUCAUCUGGAUUCACCUGGUCCAGUCUAUGUCAUGAAAGAGCAGGUGUUCCUAAUGUUUUGUACACUCAGUGUACAUUAUAUGGACGGACUUCAGAUAAGGCCUAUCUGUAAAAGGUGGUCAGGGGCAAUGGUCGGAUAAAUCAGUGGCAUAGCCAAGAAUUCGUUGGUGGGUGGGCCUGCAGAAACUUGGGAGGGGGAAAGCGACUAACUUCCAGAUAUUUUACAGAUUUUACCGGGGGCAAAGAGAAAAAUUUGCAAUUUUAUAGCUAAUCUCAUGCUAUUUUUACAAUUUUUGCCAUGAUGCUGAGAGAAAAUGUUACUGUUUUAAAGCAAAUUUCCUGCAAUUCUACAUAUUUUGCCAUGGGCAGAGAGAUAAAUGUGCAGUUUUAUAGCUUAUCGCAUGCUAUUCUACUGUCAUGCCCUGAUAUGAUUCACCAGUCCUUGUGCUUGCCUCCAUCCCCCUCCAGGUGUCGCUCAUCUUCCCCAUUAUCCCCUGGGUACUUAUACAUGUGUUCUCUGUUUGUCUGUUGCCAGUUCGUCUUGUUCGUCAAGUUAACCAAUGUUUUGUCUCAGCUUCUGCUUUUCCCCAGUCUCUCGUUUUCUCGCCCUCCUGGUUUUGACCCUUGUCUUUAACCCUUUUGACCCUUUGCCCCUACUCUGGAUUACCGACCUCUGCCUGACCUGACCCUGAGCCUGCCUGCCAUCCUGUACCCUUGCCCCACUACUCUGGAUGAUCGACCUCUGCCUGUCUUGACCUGUUGUUUGCCUGCCCCUGUUGCUGUGAUAAACAUUGUUACUUCAACGCAGUCUGCAUUUUGGUCUUACCUGAAACGUGAUAUCUGAGAGAAAAUGCUGCAUUUUUAAAGUGAAUUAAAGCUCAAAUAUAGGUGUGUUGACUGUGAUAAAG
rnacentral:lncRNA from 1 species